rnacentral:rRNA from 1 species
AUAAAUAUCUUAAGUUGGAACUGCCGGGGAGCGGGGAAUACCCGGACAGUUUGAGAACUUGCGACACUUUGCCAGUCGCAUUCCCCCACUCUGGUCUUCUUAUGUGAGACGAGGCAGAAAGAAGAAAACUUGAGAAGACUAAGCCGGUUGGGGUUGAAAGGUUUUUCUUGUGUGGAUAGUAAUGGGCUGAGUGGUGGUCUGGCACUGUUUUGGCAUGAAUCA